AUGCCUCGUCUUCCCUUAAGUGCGAGGCGUGGAAGGAGAAAUGCAAUAUUUUUUAAUCUGACCACUUCCAUUAUGCUUGUAUACUAUUAUGUGUGGUUCAUGUUUGCAUUAGCUUAUAGGAGAAAAUGUUGGCAAAUAGAAAGGAGAAUUUUAAUUAGAGAGUUAAGGGGAGAGAACUUGUAUCGACUAAUUGGUGAGAGCGACGCCAUGUGUAUAAGUCAACUUCGUAUGGAUAGGAGAACAUUUCAUAUAUUAUGUGAGAUGGUGAGAGAUGUUGGUGGACUAAAGGGUACAAGGAAAACAUCAUUAGAGGAGAUAGCGGGCAUGUAUAAUAGACAUAGGGCUGCUAGGGCGCAUUGA
rnacentral:rRNA from 1 species